rnacentral:rRNA from 1 species
CCUACGGGAGGCAGCAGUGGGGAAUAUUGGACAAUGGGGGGAACCCUGAUCCAGCGACGCCGCGUGAGUGAAGAAGUAUUUCGGUAUGUAAAGCUCUAUCAGCAGGGAAGAAAGAAAUGACGGUACCUGACUAAGAAGCCCCGGCUAACUACGUGCCAGCAGCCGCGGUAAUACGUAGGGGGCAAGCGUUAUCCGGAUUUACUGGGUGUAAAGGGAGCGUAGACGGCGAUGCAAGUCUGAAGUGAAAGGCGGGGGCACAACCCCCGGACUGCUUUGGAAACUGUAUGGCUGGAGUGCAGGAGAGGUAAGUGGAAUGCCUAGUGUAGCGGUGAAAUGCGUAGAUAUUAGGAGGAACACCAGUGGCGAAGGCGGCUUACUGGACUGUAACUGACGUUGAGGCUCGAAAGCGUGGGGAGCAAACAGGAUUAGAUACCCCAGUAGUC